UUCAUCUAAAAUAAACAGUUCAAAACAAUAUAUGAAUUGUGACAAAGUGUAACCGUGUGAUACAUAUAUUUUUUUAACUAACAUUAAUAUAAUUUAUGCUUAUGAAUGUAUAUAUGUUAUUUUAUAUUUAAUAAUUUAAGAUAAAUAAAUAUUGACUAUUUUAUUUGCUACAGUUAUCUAACCACAUCUUCUACCUUUCUUUUUGUUUUCAACUGCGGUCGUGUAACAAUGUUGUCCCAGCACUCCUUUUUUAUUUCAAUUUAUAUUUAUUUUAUUUACAGAAAUGACAGCAACAAAGUAUCUUGAAUGGUGACAUAUAUUGAUCCCGCACAUCAUUUCUUUUGUCCCGCUC
rnacentral:lncRNA from 1 species